rnacentral:misc_RNA from 1 species
CCCAACUAUCCCUAUUAAUCAUUACAUCGAUCCUAGAAACCAACGAAAUAGAAUCAGUCCGUCCUAUUUCAUUAUUCCAUGCUAAUGUAUUCAAGCGUUAGCCUGCUUUAAACACUCUAAUUUUUUCAAGGUAACAGUCCUAAUUCCCCAAAACAUCAAAUGAAUGACAUUAUGGUUCCUUAGAAGGUGAGAACCAAUAUGACCAGUACAUACCAACGGCAUGACCAAUCCAUUGAUUCCGAAGUUCAACUACGAGCUUUUUAACUGCAACAACUUUAAUAUACGCUAUUGGAGCUGGAAUUACCGCGGCUGCUGGCACCAGACUUGCCCUCCAA